CCUUGUUUCCCAAUUCUGCUUCCCUUGUCUAGAUGGCACUUCUGUUGACCAUAAGACGGGAAGACGAGUAGAGAGGUUGGUGAGACCUGAGAGUUGACAGAUUAUCAAAGAGCAAGCCCAAAGCUACUCUAACUAACAUGUGUACUGUUGAGCGGUGGUAGGUAAUGAGUAGUAGCAGAUAAAACCCCACUCUGUAAAUGUGGAAGCUCCAUCUUCGACAUCUCUACUGCUUUCUUUCUUUAAGACCAAGAACCAUCAACUCCUCUCCACCGCCUAAUGCUCCAAAUCCAUUCUUCUUUGUCAUCCAUCUAAAACCUUAAUCUUUUUCUUAUUUUAAGCUACUCCCAUUUGUCUUUGCCCAAUUUCUUGCUUUGGAAUCAACUGACUUCGCUGAAUCAUUUAGGAAAAUGGCUCAAGAAGUGGUAAACCCAGAGGAGCAGGUUGUUCUUGGAGAAGAAAUAGGUAAAGUGAGGUUGAUCACAUUGAAUAGGCCGCGUCAGCUAAAUGUUAUUUCAUCCAAAGUGGUUUCUCUGCUAGCAGAUUUCUUGGAGAAAUGGGAGAAAGACGAAAAUGCAGAACUUAUAUUAAUCAAGGGUGCCGGUCGAGCAUUUUCUGCUGGUGGGGAUCUAAAAAUGUUUUAUGAUGGGAGGACGUCAAAGGAUUCUUGCCUUGAGGUGGUCUACAGAAUGUACUGGCUUUGUUAUCACAUCCACACAUAUAUGAAAACCCAGGUUGCUCUUGUCCGUGGAAUUUCAAUGGGAGGCGGCGCAUCUUUUGUGGUCCCGAUGAAAUUUUCUGUUGUCACAGAGAAAACUGUUUUUGCAACUCCAGAAGCAAGUAUUGGAUUUCAUACUGAUUGCAGUUUCUCAUACAUUCUUUCCCAUCUCCCUGGGCAUUUGGGGGAAUACUUAGCUUUAACUGGAGCAAGGCUGAAUGGUAAGGAAUUGGUUGUUGCUGGCCUAGCCACUCACUUUGUCCCUUCUGAGAAACUGCCUGAGCUAGAGAAGCAUUUGAUAAGCUUGAACUCUGGUGAUGAGAAAGCAGUCAAAUCUGCGAUUGAAGAAUUCUCUAUGGAUGUUCAGCUUGAUGAAGAAAGUGUUUUAAACAAGCUUUCCAUAAUUGACGAGUGUUUUUCCAAGGAUACUGUGGUAGACAUCAUCAAAUCAUUUGAAGCUGAGGCAACUAAAGAAGGAAAUGGAUGGAUAGGAGCAAUACUGAAAGGGUUGAAAAGAUCUUCUCCUACAGGAUUGAAAAUCACACUCAAAUCGAUUCGUGAAGGACGGAAACAAACAAUUGCUGAAUGUCUUAAGAAAGAAUUCAGAAUAACAAUGAACAUACUUCGAACUGCAAUAUCUGCAGACGUCUAUGAGGGUAUUAGGGCUCUCACCAUUGACAAGGAUAAUGCUCCUAAGUGGGACCCACCAACUUGGAACGAAGUGGAUGAUGAAAAAGUGGACCUUGUAUUUCAGCCAUUCAAAGAGGAUUUGGAGCUCCAAAUUCCUGGAAAAGAAGACUGCAGGUGGAGUGGCAAAUAUGAGAAUUCACCAUACGCAGCGUUAAGUUGACAGAAAAAAAUGAAUCUGAAAUGCCUGCU
rnacentral:misc_RNA from 1 species